GUCUGGGACAAUAUACCUAUGAUGGUAGAACGUACCUAAAAGUCCCAUUUUGGCUACGAGACCAGACUGAGAAAAACUGCUUCAACUGCCACAUGCAAGGACAUAUUACAUAUAGCUGUCCUGAGAGUGAAGAGACAAUACAAUGUGACAUAGUAAUAAGGGCUCUGUAUAGGAUUGUAUUGACUUGCUUAAAGAUGUGUAUGGUGACUGGUGGUGGUGUUAAAGCACAGCUAAAAGUGGUAGGGAAGAGUGCACAAGCACUCAUUAAUUCAGGGAGUGAGGCUACUUUGAAAAAUGUUCUGCUCCUGCCAGAAAAAUGUGAUAUAAGACAAGUGAUUGAUAUUGUGGGUACACAUGGUGACACCCGCACAUACCCCAUGGCAGAGGUAGUUUGUCACAGAGGUUGUAAAAGUUAAAUGCCCUGUAGUACAUGUAGCUCAAACGCAAGAGCAUAUAAGUAAGGCCAGGUUUCUGAGUACCUUGGACCUGGUCAUAAGGUAUUGGCAGGUUCCCCUGACAGAGAAAGCAAAGGGAAGGACAGCGUUUUCUACUCCCAAGGGGUUAUGGCAACAUAAAGUACUGCCAUUCAGGUUGCAUAGUGCACAAGCCCCCUUUCCGCAUAUGAAUAGGAUACUUUGGCCCCACAGAGAGAAUGCAGCUGCCUACCUUGGUGAUGUGGCUAUUCACAGGGUGGACUUGGAAGCACACCUGAUGAAGGUCCAGUUAGUUGUGGAUAAAGUAAC